rnacentral:rRNA from 1 species
UACAGAGGUGGCAAGCGUUGUUCGGAAUUACUGGGCGUAAAGGGCGCGUAGGCGGCCUUCUAAGUCAGACGUGAAAUCCCUGGGCUCAACCCAGGAACUGCGUCCGAUACUGGUUGGCUUGAAUCCGGGAGAGGGACGUGGAAUUCCAGGUGUAGCGGUGAAAUGCGUAGAUAUCUGGAGGAACACCGGUGGCGAAGGCGACGUCCUGGACCGGCAUUGACGCUGAGGCGCGAAAGCCAGGGGAGCAAACGGG